UGACGGUAGGGCAAUAGGCGGGAAAUGAAUUUUUGGUAUGUAAUUUCAUUUUUUUUUCCAUUGUCUCAUUUUCUUGCUCAUUGUAGGGUUUUGUAAAUGUUGUCACAGAAUGCGAAUGUCUUCUCUUCUUCUGCUCCUCGAAAGACAUUUGUUGUGUCGACUCCCAGUGAGCCCAGGAAGAUUGCCAUGUAUUCACCGGCUUUCUUUGCGGCCUGUGCAAUGGGAGGCAUUCUCAGUUGUGGUCUCACUCACACUGGCGUACCCUUCUUGAUCUUGUCAAAUGUAAUAUGCAGUAAUAAAUUCCCUUUUGGGUGGAGAGUGGAGGAAGAAUGAUGAAUGUCGGUUGCAUCAAAUUCCAUCUUGGCCAACUUCUCAUGCAGCUAUAUGAAUACACCCAUCAUCCAGUUUUAGUGGCAUGGAAAUACUUUAUUCCUUUACAGCAUGCAGGUUACAGUUAACAGUUCCUAACAUCUUCGAGUGUCUACAAGCACAGCCAGAGGAGAACAUAAACUGUGGUUGUGGAAUCUGGUUUUACACCUGCCAAUUGCAUUUGCUUGGAAGUCUCUAAAGCUUUUUCAACAAGUCCAUUUUGUGCACAUCUUACAAUCAUUGCAGUCCUUGAGACCACAUUUAUUUCAGGGAUACCAUUGUGCCCUGUCUUCUUCCACAUUUUGCAAGCAUGUCUUCCAGAACAGUUGCAACUGCAGCAUAUGACAAAAAUCUUCUAUCCUUUAUGCUUUGAUGGAUGUCCAUACCUUGUUUCAGAGCUCCCAUUUGGCAUGAACAGAGAGGAUUUUAGCAAAGGUUGUGAAAUUUGGCUUUACACCUAUCAAGUGCACUUUCUUGAAAGUUUCUAAAGCCUUUUCAAACAGCUCAAGGAACAGCAAGAUCAACAUGUAAAUUUGGCUCGUAUAAAGUUGGAAAUUGUUGAAAAGGAAGAGAAGCAUGUAUUACAAAGUGAUUUCAGAUGCCAAAAUAUAAAUGAAUCAAUGCUGGCACAGCAUAUAGAAGACUUGGCAAUUAUAAACCUAAAUUUUGUAUCAUCAUACUUGUUUAAUGAAUACUUGUCAAUUUAUUCACUCUCAAGCUCUUCCUUAAGAACAUGAGUUCUUGGUUGUUUCUUAAAUAAUUAUCAAUUUUUUAUAGCAA